rnacentral:rRNA from 1 species
UACGUAGGGUGCAAGCGUUGUCCGGAAUUAUUGGGCGUAAAGAGCUCGUAGGCGGUCUGUCGCGUCUGCUGUGAAAACUCAGGGCUUAACCCUGAGCUUGCAGUGGGUACGGGCAGACUAGAGUGCGGUAGGGGAGACUGGAAUUCCCGGUGUAGUGGUGAAAUGCGUAGAGAUCGGGAGGAACACCUGCGGCGAAGGCGGGUUGCUGGGCUGACACUGACGCUGGAAGCGCGAAAGCUAGGGGAGCGAACGGG